rnacentral:rRNA from 1 species
AUGUGGGGCCGUAUGUGGAGCUCCGGACGCGGCUCCAGCAGCAGAUCCGGCCGGGGAAGGGACCCGGAGCGCGAGCGGCGCGUCCGGUCCGACGGCGCGCGGAAGCACGGGGCCCGGAAAUGGACCAACCGCGGCAUGUCGCCGCCGGCGACCUUCCAGCGGAGCGAGACGGCGGAGUACGACCGCCGACGCGCGUCCUUCUCCUCCGCGAGGUCCUCGUACACCGAGAGCUCCUCCUCCUCCGGCGCGGGCCUUCUCCCCGUGAAGAGGGAGUGGUCGGACGAGGAGGAGGAGCCGGCGCCGUUCGCCUUCAUCCCCGUGAAGGAGGAGCCCGAGGAGCCCGCUCUGCUCGGCCGCCGUGGAGUCGUCGGGCCCGAGGACUACGUCGCAGACGUCGACGCCGUCGCGGCCGCCGUCGCCGAGCGGAGCAUGCGCGAGGAGGCGGAGCGCCAACGUCACGCCGAGCAGAUCGAAGAUCUCGAGUGGCGGCAGGCGGUCGCCGCCAACGUCGCCGCCAACGAGAAGGCCGAGGAGUGGCGCCGCAUCCGCGCGGAGCGGGCGGUGAAGUUUAGAUACAGAAAAGGAGUAAAACUAGUCGAGUCUACCCUUCGUCGAACGUUGGCAUCCGUGUUCCACAUCCUACGCUUCUCGCCAAACAUGGGCAUGUCCAUGUCCGAUGUUCUACUCUUCGCCGUCAUUCGUGGGAGGCCGCCACCUCCCCAUCGACGUUGCCGGUGGAGUUGUCAACGGUGGCAUCAUGCCCACCGCAACAUCCGCCUCUGUCUAGACGUGGCGCAGCCACCGCGUGCGGACUCGAAGAGCGCCUACCGCUGGAUGACGAGGCCUGGGCCCUAUGCGGCCAUGGCCACAACAGCCUGCUCGUUGGCUUGCUUGGCGACGAUUUGCUCCUCUGCCGGCCUCCUCGGCUUGGGUCCUCUGUCGUGGAUCCGCGAGGAGGUCAAGGUUGUAUCGCCACACCUCCGAAACGUCGACACUGUCCGCGUCGACUGCUUGUCCUGGCCCAUCUCCUUCAUGACGGCAUCGAAGUGCGCUAGCACCUACGCCAUGUUGAAGUCGGCAACCGGCAUGGGGCGCGGGUGUUGGCUCAUCGUCGACCGGGCGCCUCCUUCAUUGUUGGGUUGUCGCCCAACAAGCUCGGAGGCAGUCAUGGGGCCAUGCGACGUGCUCUUCCUCCUAGUCGUGGACAAUCUCGGCAAUUCCAUAUGGGCAUCACGACGAGAGGCUUUUCCCCACCCUUCGAGGGUCCCGGCCAUUGUGUUGGGCAUCAUGGAGGGAGGAGGAAAGCGGUUGCGCCAAAGGAGCGCUCUACCGGGGAUGUGGCUCGAGGAUGUGACCAUCGGGCGCCAACCAAUUCUUGACAACACAAGAACUACGAGAAAGUUUCUUCAAAAGCGACGCCUCCAGAAAAGGAACGACGCGCAAACGCCGCCGUCGCCGGUCCAACCACCAAAGGUCAGAACAUGGGUUUUCACCCUGAAGAUCAAAUCCGAGCAAAACUCUGAGCAAUGCCUUCACCAGGCCGCUCGCUACCACCCGACGAAGUCUGAUGGGGAUGAAGAACAAUGGCACUACCAAAAUCCAAAAUUUUGGACACUUCGGACGCCCCGCACCAUCCUCACAAAGUGGCAGCCCAUAGCUGAUCUGCAUGAGACGACAUCAUUAGACAUUGCCACUAACUCCGUCGUCCUUGCCUUGCGCCCGAGCCCAAGUAAGCACCGCCUCCCAGCUGGCGACACCGGCGACGGCCGCGACAACUGCGCUAGGCCACCGCCUCAACCAGCUGGGCUGCCCCUGAUGGUGGACGCCAGAGUAGCUGGUCGUUCCAGUGUGGAUGAAUCUCCACUCCAUACUAGGGAAGAGGGAGCUGCUCACGAGCUCCUGCCGAGGAUUGACGGCGCCGGGGAGUGGCUGCAACUAUUGGAGAUGGCACCACUUAAUGGUGUCCAUGAGCGGGAGGAGCAGGCACUAUGGUGCUGUUCUGACCACCCCCAGCCUCCCCGUUGGAUCCAGCCGCGUGUGGACCGCCGGCGCCGCUGCAGCAAGUCGCCUUCACAACCUCAAUCCUUCCCGUUGGAUCAAGCCGCGCGUGGAUCGCCGACACCGCUGCAGCAACUCACCUUCACAGCCUUGACCUGGCCGGUGCCUGCAUCUCGUCAAACGUUGCACGAUGCCUCACGGGGACGAAGCCCCGCCGCCGCCGUCAGCCGCGCGGACAAGCCCGUUGGCGCCGACCGGUGGCGGCGAGGGGAGGGCGCACGGGGACAGCUGCGGGAAAAGCGGAUCCAGUCGCCGCCCGAGUCGCCUAUGCGGACGAUGCGGGGGCAGUUUGGUGGUAGUACGGAGAAAAUGCUGAAGAAUAGGAAGAAUGAUCAUGCAUGGCAUUUUACGACCUACGACAAGCGACCAGAGUUUGCUAAAUGGGAGAGAAAUGCAAGAGCUGCCCUGCGAGGGCUCUUUGCCUUACUCAAGCCUGAGAAGCCUUGGGAUUGGCGAAGAGAGCAGCACAAUGGGUGGCAUUCAGGACUAUUGAUGGCUUCAUCCCUGUCUCAAACUAAUUGUCAGAGAGGUGAGUAA